GACGAACGCUGGCGGCGUGCCUAAUACAUGCAAGUAGAACGCUGAAGGAGGAGCUUGCUUCUCUGGAUGUGUUGCGAACGGGUGAGUAACGCGUAGGUAACCUGCCUGGUAGCGGGGGAUAACUAUUGGAAACGAUAGCUAAUACCGCAUAAGAGUAGAUGUUGCAUGACAUUUGCUUAAAAGGUGCAAUUGCAUCACUACCAGAUGGACCUGCGUUGUAUUAGCUAGUUGGUGGGGUAACGGCUUACCAAGGCGACGAUACAUAGCCGACCUGAGAGGGUGAUCGGCCACACUGGGACUGAGACACGGCCCAGACUCCUACGGGAGGCAGCAGUAGGGAAUCUUCGGCAAUGGACGGAAGUCUGACCGAGCAACGCCGCGUGAGUGAAGAAGGGUGUCGGAUCGUAAAGCUCUGUUGUAAGAGAAGAACGAGUGUGAGAGUGGAAAGUUCACACUGUGACGGUAGCUUACCAGAAAGGGACGGCUAACUACGUG
rnacentral:rRNA from 1 species